GAUGGGAGGAGGCGAGUGGAGGGCGCAGCAGCAGGAGUCCUGUGCUCUGGGAGGAAGGCUUUGUACAUGGGAGCUGUUGGCAUCACAUCUGUCAGGCCAGUGCCCAGAACUGGGGCAAUGGAGACGGGGGGUUCCAGGAAGCAGGGAGAAGGGGCAGGAAUGUGUUUCUGACGUUGCUAUCCCUCUAGAAGCUCAGCUCUGAAAAAUGGUUGGAGUAUGAGGUGAUUAGUGCUCUUCCAGCUUGAGAAAGUAAAGUGGUGGAGACAGUAGCCAGGGAAGUGCCAAGAAACAGUCUACGAGCCAGGGAGGAGAGAGUGUGCCACCGUACCCAGGGAGAACUUGUUGGGGCUGGCAAUCUGGCUCUUUGUCAGAGUAUUGAAGGAGACAGCAAGGGGACCAGAUGUGAGGUGGGUGGGUACUGGCACUGCCCAUGGCACCUGGCACAGGCUCUGGCAUUGUGUGGAACAGGGGAGGGCGACAGUGCCUCUUGCCAAUCUGGUUGAGAGGGCAAUGGUGCCAGGAGUGAGAAGGAAGGAGGUGAAACAUUUCGGGAGGUGGGGUGUUUGGGAGACCAGACUUUUUUCCUGCCAGGUCCUCCUUCCCCUUCCCUCUUAGGCAUGGGGAGUGGAGCAACAGACGGAGAGUGGCAUGAGGAUACAAAGGAGGAAGCACACCAUUGCCAAGACCCCAAGGAAGAAGGAUGGAAAGCGCUGGCAGUCCUGCCUGGCCCCCAGCCAGUUCCCUGCUGAAGAUGGUCAAAUCCCCUUGCCUGGUCUGUAUAUGCCACUUUUGCUGGGGUGGAAGGAGGGAAGGGCUGACUUGCUGAGCUGGGCUCUAGAAUGGGAAGAGUACCUUUCUGCAGAUGCCAUUUGGACUCUCCACUUGAACAAGUGAGGUGUCUAUUUUCCUCUUCGGUACCUUCCUCUCCUCCCCCUCCCUUCGCCUCAUCCCCAUUUCAUCUUUCAUCACCACCUGGGUCCUACUGCUUGGCACCCAACCAACUGGAUGCCACCACGUUUGGCAGUGCUGCACCGGCACGUGAACAGUGUCUCAGAUCCUGGCACUGCGGCAAACCCAAAGCCACCAAACGUGCUCAUGAUGGCACUUGGUGGCAGUCAGGGAGACGGGGCUCUGCACAUAGCGGUGCCAGGCAUUGGGUGGAGCUCUGUGCAGGGAACUGGCAUGAGAGGAUGCCCUUAACAACUGGGCUGAGUCAGCACUCCCUCGUCAAUCCCAGCUCUGCCUUCCUCCCAACUAGAUAUCCACCUCCCUCCUACCCUUACUGCCCCCAAGAAAGGGAUUUAGAUGGUAUCAUACUGAAUGUUUGAGCACCAUGCGAAAGGAAACGAGCAUAGAGGGACAGGCUAUAGCACAGGCUGUAGACACACCCAAGGCUCCAGGCCAGUGGACCAUACAUAUCCUUGGACAACAAGAACAGAAAAAUAAAACCCUAGGAGGGCAAAAGGAGGUGGAGAGAGGGACACCAGCUGUGUUGUUACCAGGAUGGCACAAGAAGAGAUUGGAAGGCAAGUAGGAAGGAGUGACCCUCAGACUUUGCUCUUGGGUGAUGGGGUGGUUUGUACCUAUGCAUAUUUCAUUCUGCCUUGUACCUUGUGAUUUGCUGAGCUGUGGUUGAGAUGAACUGGUUCUUUCUCCCUUGUUAAAAGGUCCAUAUUCAAUAAUAGUCCUAGGAAGAUGGAAAGGUGCUCUAGGCCUAGAGAGAUAGACAGGUGUUAGGAAGACAAAGGGACUUGUCCUUCCAGAAAGACUAUACAAGGCACCCAGUUAGAGUUGGAUAGAUUUCCAUAUCUUUGAAAUCCACCCCAAGAAGGGAGACAGGAUCAGCAAUGAUCCCUGGUAGAGGGGGAGGCCCCUAGGAGGAGAAUCCCCAGCAACUGUGGUGAUACAGACUAGCCCUCACAAAACUAGACUUUGGGCCCCCAAUCUGAAAGAAUUUCUAGUAGCUUUGGCUUUCCUAAUGACUGGGCAGAUCUUCAGAUCUGGAAGAUUUGACUAUAGGUGAUGUGGAGGGGAGGCUGGGUGGCUCUGGGAGAUAAGACCUGCCCAGAGGUAGGAGUAAAGUCCAUGCUGGGCUGAGCUGCUCAGGGCUGGGGAAGUUCUGAUUUCAGCAUCUCUGGAAGUGUAUGGCCGCUUCAGAAGAAGCAAGGUGUUUUCCACAGCAGAGGAGAAAGCAGGGAGACACUCAGCCAAAGUGGGAUGAAUGACUGUCUUAGAUCAUGGUGGUGGAGAUUUGGAGAAUCAGUGAUCUGGUCUAUAAGCCCUGAAAGUGGUUAAGAAACAAGUACAAAGAAUGAAGCAGAUGGGUGCUAUUAUGCCUGGAAUAAAAGGCUUGCUUGGUUCUUAAGCAUGCUUCUGAUUCUGCAAAGGAUUGUGCUGACUCAGCCUUCUGUCCACCAGAAUGCCCACUGUGUAUUGCUCUCUGGAGCAGGAGUGCUGCCGCUAAGGACUUCUGCUCUGAGAAAGGGGCUGGGGAGGAAAGCUUCCAGCCCCUGGGAACAUGGAAUGGUGCCCCCUCAGGAAGCAUGUUAAUUGACCUAAGUCAGCAGAGUCAGCCAGGCUCUUUUGCCCCCCAAAUUCCAGGGUUCCAGAUGGGGCAUCCAAGAAACAGAGAGGUUAAGUGAGCUACUGAGGGUCACACAGCUCCAAGAUGGUGAAACUAGAAAUGGACUGAUGCGGCACUGAGUAAACCCCAAAGUUGUGGUCUAGACUUCUCUACCCAGCUAGACUGUUGGACACAAUACAGGCAAAAUGAGACUCCAAAAGACUAGAAAUGAGGAUUCCAGGCUGGGCAUGGUGGCUCACAUCUGUAAUCCCAGCACUUUGGAAGGCCGAGGCAGGCAGAUCACCUGAGGUCAG